rnacentral:rRNA from 1 species
GAAGGACCCCCCUGAAGGAAGCCGCCUUCGGGUUGUAACCUUCUUCCGUAGGGAGGAAGCGAAAGUGCCGGUACCUGCAGAAGAAGCGCGGCUAACUACGUGCCAGCAGCCCCGGUAAUACGUAGGGCGCAAGCGUUAUCCGGAUUUAUUGGGCGUAAAGAGCUCGUAGGCGGUUUGUCGCGUCUGCCGUGAAAGUCCGAGGCUCAACCUUGGAUCUGCGGUGGGUACGGGCAGACUAGAGUGAUGUAGGGGAGACUGGAAUUCCUGGUGUAGCGGUGAAAUGCGCAGAUAUCAGGAGGAACACCGAUGGCGAAGGCAGGUCUCUGGGCAUUUACUGACGCUGAGGAGCGAAAGCAUGGGGAGCGAACAGGAUUAGAUACCCUGGUAGUCCAUGCCGUAAACGUUGGGCACUAGGUGUGGGGAACAUUCCACGUUUUCCGCGCCGUAGCUAACGCAUUAAGUGCCCCGCCUGGGGAGUACGGCCGCAAGGCUAAAACUCAAAGGAAUUGACGGGGGCCCGCACAAGCGGCGGAGCAUGCGGAUUAAUUCGAUGCAACGCGAAGAACCUUACCAAGGCUUGACAUGUGCCAGACCGCUUCAGAGAUGGAGUUUCCCUUCGGGGCUGGUUCACAGGUGGUGCAUGGUUGUCGUCAGCUCGUGUCGUGAGAUGUUGGGUUAAGUCCCGCAACGAGCGCAACCCUCGUUCCAUGUUGCCAGCACGUAAUGGUGGGGACUCAUGGGAGACUGCCGGGGUCAACUCGGAGGAAGGUGGGGAUGACGUCAAAUCAUCAUGCCCCUUAUGUCUUGGGCUUCACGCAUGCUACAAUGGCCGGUACAAUGGGUUGCGAUACUGUGAGGUGGAGCUAAUCCCUAAAAGCCGGUCUCAGUUCGGAUUGGGGUCUGCAACUCGACCCCAUGAAGUCGGAGUCGCUAGUAAUCGCAGAUCAGCAACGCUGCGGUGAAUACGUUCCCGGGCCUUGUACACACCGCCCGUCAAGUCACGAAAGUUGGUAACACCCGAAGCCGAUGGCCUAACCACCUUGUGUGGGGGGAGUCGUCGAAGGUGACGGCCAG